rnacentral:tRNA from 2 species
GGUCGCUUAGCUCAGUUGGUUAGAGCGUGGUGCUAAUACCCUAUAUGGUACGCGACGCCAAGGUCGCGAGUUCGACCCUCGUAGUGACCA